CGGCGAGUGAAGAGGGAAGAGCUCAAAUUUAAAAUCUGGCGGUCUACGGCCGUCCGAGUUGUAAUCUAGAGAGGUGUUUUCCGUGCCGGACCGUGUACAAGUCCCUUGGAACAGGGCGUCAUAGAGGGUGAGAAUCCCGUCCAUGACACGGACUCCCGGUGCUCUGCGAUACACCUUCGAAGAGUCGAGUUGUUUGGGAAUGCAGCUCAAAAUGGGUGGUAAAUUCCAUCUAAAGCUAAAUACAGGCGAGAGACCGAUAGCGAACAAGUACCGUGAGGGAAAGAUGAAAAGAACUUUGGAAAGAGAGUUAAACAGUACGUGAAAUUGUUGAAAGGGAAACGCUUGAAGUCAGUCGCGUCCGCAGGGACUCAGCCUUGCUUCUGCUUGGUGUAUUUCUCUGCGGAUGGGCCAGCAUCGAUUUUAGUCGCCGGAAAAGGGCGGGAGGAAUGUGGCAGCUUGCUGUGUUAUAGCCUCUCGUCGUACACGGUGACCGGGAUCGAGGUCUGCAGCACGCCUUUUGGUCGGGGUUCGCCCACGCCACGUGCUUAGGAUGCUGGCGUAAUGGCUUUAAACGACCCGUCUUGAAACACGGACCAAGGAGUCUAACAUGCCUGCGAGUGUUUGGGUGUAAAACCCAGGCGCGUAAUGAAAGUGAAAAGUUGGGACUCUUCAGUGAGGCACCGACGCCCGAUCCUGACGUUCUCUGACGGAUUUGAGGCAGAGCAUGUAUGUUGGGACCCGAAAGAUGGUGAACUAUGCCUGAAUAGGGCGAAGCCAGAGGAAACUCUGGUGGAGGCUCGUA
rnacentral:rRNA from 1 species